rnacentral:misc_RNA from 1 species
ACACCUCAACUCCUCAUGGCUUGCCAUGAUGAGCUUGGACUUUGGGGGUCUUGCUGGCCCUACGGCCGGCUCCUCUCAAAUGGAUCAGCUUGCCAGUGAUUGGUGGUGCCGCAGGUGUGAUAAAAAUCUACGCUUGUGGUCCUCUGCCAUGCAACCUUCAGUGAUGGAGGUUCGCUGGAGCUCACAAAUAUCUUCCCUCAGUGGAGACAGCCCUUUGAUU